AUGGCUGUCGUCAGCUCGUGUCGUGAGAUGUUGGGUUAAGUCCCGCAACGAGCGCAACCCUUAUCAUUAGUUGCUACCAUUAAGUUGAGCACUCUAGUGAGACUGCCCGGGUUAACCGGGAGGAAGGUGGGGAUGACGUCAAAUCAUCAUGCCCCUUAUGUCUAGGGCUACACACGUGCUACAAUGGUGAGUACAAAGAGAUGCAAGACCGCAAGGUGGAGCCAAACUCAAAAACUCAUCCCAGUUCGGAUUGUAGGCUGCAACUCGCCUACAUGAAGCCGGAGUUGCUAGUAAUCGCGAAUCAGCAUGUCGCGGUGAAUACGUUCCCGGGCCUUGUACACACCGCCCGUCACACCAUGAGAGCUGGUAACACCCGAAGUCCGUGAGAUAACCGUAAGGAGUCAGCGGCCGAAGGUGGGAUCGGUGAUUGGGGUGAAGUCGUAACAAGGUAGCCGUAGGAGAACCUGCGGCUGGAUCACCUCCUUUCUAGGGAGUAGAUAUAGAGGCUUCGGUCUUUAUAACAGAAGAAUUUAAUUAUUCUUCAAAAUAUCUAUCGUAAUUAAUCGUACCUAUUCUCUGUUUAAUUUUGAGAGACUAAUUUUAAUUAACUUUUUGGGUUAAUUAAUGAAUAGUUUUUCUUAAAAUGUUCUUUGAAAAUUGCACAGUGAAAUAAAUUGUUUGAAAAGAUUAAAGCCAUUUUAAUGGUUUAUAGAUUGAUUUAAUACAAUUUCGCAAAAUUAAUUUAAGUAAUAUAAAUGUCUAUUAUUAUAGACAUAAUCAAAGGUCAAGCUACAAAGGGCGCAUGGCGAAUGCCUUGGCACUAGGAGCCGAAGAAGGACGCGUUAAGCUGCGAUAAGCUUUGGGUAGGCGCAAAUAGCCAGUGAUCCAAAGAUUUCCGAAUGGGGAAACCCGG
rnacentral:sRNA from 1 species